AUUGAACGCUGGCGGCAUGCUUUACACAUGCAAGUCGAACGGUAACAGGCCUUCGGGUGCUUACGAGUGGCGAACGGGUGAGUAAUGCAUCGGAACGUACCCAGAGGUUGGGGAUAACGCAGCGAAAGCUGUGCUAAUACCGCAUGUGAUCUGAGGAUGAAAGCGGGGGACCGAGCAGCAAUGUUUGGCCUCGCGCCUUUGUAGCGGCCGAUGUCGGAUUAGCUAGUCGGUGGGGUAAAGGCCUACCAAGGCGACGAUCCGUAGCUGGUCUGAGAGGACGACCAGCCACACUGGGACUGAGACACGGCCCAGACUCCUACGGGAGGCAGCAGUGGGGAAUUUUGGACAAUGGGCGAAAGCCUGAUCCAGCAAUGCCGCGUGAGGGAAGAAGGCCUUCGGGUUGUAAACCGCUUUUGGCAGGAACGAAACGGUGUCCGCUAAUACCGGGCGCUAAUGACGGUACCUGCAGAAUAAGCACCGGCUAACUACGUG
rnacentral:rRNA from 1 species